CUCCGUAGGUGAACCUGCGGAGGGAUCAUUACACAAAUAUGAAGGCGGGCUGGAACCUCUCGGGGUUACAGCCUUGCUGAAUUAUUCACCCUUGUCUUUUGCGUACUUCUUGUUUCCUUGGUGGGUUCGCCCACCACUAGGACAAACAUAAACCUUUUGUAAUUGCAAUCAGCGUCAGUAACAAAUUAAUAAUUACAACUUUCAACAACGGAUCUCUUGGUUCUGGCAUCGAUGAAGAACGCAGCGAAAUGCGAUAAGUAGUGUGAAUUGCAGAAUUCAGUGAAUCAUCGAAUCUUUGAACGCACAUUGCGCCCUUUGGUAUUCCAAAGGGCAUGCCUGUUCGAGCGUCAUUUGUACCCUCAAGCUUUGCUUGGUGUUGGGCGUCUUGUCUCUAGCUUUGCUGGAGAUUCGCCUUAAAGUAAUUGGCAGCCGGCCUACUGGUUUCGGAGCGCAGCACAAGUCGCACUCUCUAUCAGCAAAGGUCUAGCAUCCAUUAAGCCUUUUUUCAACUUUUGACCUCGGAUCAGGUAGGGAUACCCGCUGAACUUAAGCAUAUCA
rnacentral:rRNA from 1 species